rnacentral:rRNA from 1 species
CACGUAGGGGGCAAGCGUUGUCCGGAUUUAUUGGGCGUAAAGAGCUCGUAGGUGGUUCGAUAAGUCGGGUGUGAAACCUCCAGGCUCAACCUGGAGACGCCACCCGAUACUGUCGUGACUAGAGUCCAGUAGGGGAGCGUGGAAUUCCUGGUGUAGCGGUGGAAUGCGCAGAUAUCAGGAGGAACACCGGUGGCGAAGGCGGGUCUCUGGGCGGUAACUGACGCUGAGGAGCGAAAGCGUGGGGAGCGAACAGG